AGAAUCAACGCUGGCGGCGUGCCUAACACAUGCAAGUCGCACGAGAAAGGGGAGCAAUCCCUGAGUACAGUGGCGCACGGGUGAGUAACACGUGAAUAAUCUACCUCCGAGUGGGGGAAUAACUGAGAGAAAUCUUAGCUAAUACCGCAUAACACUUACGAGUCAAAGCAGCAAUGCGCUUGGAGAGGAGUUCGCGGCAGAUUAGUUAGUUGGCGGGGUAAUGGCCCACCAAGACGAUGAUCUGUAUCCGGCCUGAGAGGGCGCACGGGACACACUGGAACUGAAACACGGUCCAGACUCCUACGGGAGGCAGCAGUGGGGAAUUUUGCGCAAUGGGGGAAACCCUGACGCAGCAACGCCGCGUGGAGGAUGAAGCCCCUUGGGGUGUAAACUCCUUUCGAUCGGGAAGAUAAUGACGGUACCGAUAUAAGAAGCCCCGGCUAACUUCGCGCCAGCAGCCGC
rnacentral:rRNA from 1 species